UGGGGAUCAAAAUCCCUAGAGGCAUCCAUUCCCAAAGGGGCCCUGGCCACAUCUCCAUCUCUCCCCCCUCACCACUUCUUCUUCCACCACCGGCCGCCGCCGCAGCCAGGCCGGCGUGGCGACGCGCCACCAGCACCACCACGCGCCAUCCACCACUCCAUCUCCACCACGCCUCCACCACCACCAUCCGCACCUCACAUCGCCACCAACACCACCAUCGCAUCUCCACCACCUCUGCUGCCCAUCGGCUGCUCCUCCUCUCUUCUCUCGAUGACCCUGCUGCUUCUCCCUUCUCCAACCUCCUGCUGUUGCCUCCUCUUCCCCAAGCCCCGCUGUUGCUUCUUCCUUGUUGCGCCCCUCCUUCUUCUUCCCCCUCUCCUUGCUGCUACUCCUUCCUCUCACGUCCCCCCUGCUGUUGCUCUUCUUGCACCGAUCUGAAGCUGCUCUCUCUCCAGCGCCCCUUUCUGCUUCUCCUCUUGCUACUGCUGCUGCCCCCAACCUCCUGCUGGUAUCUCUCUCUACUCCCCCUGCUACAUUUCUUCUCUGAACCUACCUGCUGCUUCUCUCUCUCUCUGAAUUGUUGUAGUACUAUGAUGUGCAAGACAGUGUACUGCAACCUGUUAAUUGUUCAGUUCAGAUGUUUGCUUGUUUAGUAUUAUUCUGUUGAUCUGUGAGUACUAAUCUUGUGGCUAGUAUAAUUUCGUUUCUGUUGUUACUUGUGUAAACUGAACCGUGGGGUAGUAUCCUAUUCGCAUAUGUGUGUUUUGUGUGUUGUGUAGUCCCUAUGUUAGUUUUGUACCUGUGAUAUAUAUCUUCACAAUAUAAUUGUUUGUGUUGUGAUAUAAUAUUGUCCCUAUCAUACAAUCUUGUUUCUUCCCUCUGUUGUAUGUUACCAAGAUGUAUAAAUGUUCAAGUCUUUUUAAU
rnacentral:rRNA from 1 species